GACGAACGCUGGCGGCGUGCUUAACACAUGCAAGUCGAACGAAGCCGGAGCUUGCUCUGGUGAAUUAGUGGCGAACGGGUGAGUAACGCGUGAGUAACCUGCCCUUGACUCUGGGAUAACUGCUAGAAAUGGUAGCUAAUACCGGAUACGACCCUCGGAGGCAUCUCCAGGGGGUGGAAAGAAUUUCGGUCAAGGAUGGACUCGCGGCCUAUCAGCUAGUUGGUGAGGUAGCGGCUCACCAAGGCGACGACGGGUAGCCGGCCUGAGAGGGUGACCGGCCACACUGGGACUGAGACACGGCCCAGACUCCUACGGGAGGCAGCAGUGGGGAAUAUUGCACAAUGGGCGCAAGCCUGAUGCAGCAACGCCGCGUGAGGGAUGACGGCCUUCGGGUUGUAAACCUCUUUUAGUAGGGAAGAAGCGAAAGUGACGGUACCUGCAGAAAAAGCACCGGCUAACUACGUGCCAGCCGCCGCCGUAA
rnacentral:rRNA from 1 species